UAUAUUUUAAUAUAAGAUGUAUAUAGAUUUUUGAUAUCUAAAGAAAUAGUUUAAUUCUGUUAAAUAUAA
rnacentral:tRNA from 1 species